GAGGGAGCCCUAGCAAGGGGACAAGCCUGCACAUGCGCAGUAAGUCGUUUAUAUCCAGACAAGGCUGGAUGUCGGCGCCAUCUUUGUUUCGCCGCGCCGCUCUCUACACGGAGGCUCACAGCCUGCAGGUGCUGGUGAAGGUGGCGUCAACUGAAUUAUCAGUGUCUCAGCAGAAAACAAAGUGAGGCGUCAAGGGAUACAGUCAGAAAAGGCUGCUGUGGACUCUGUCGGGCCCUCUGUGGGGCACACAGAGGCUGUCAGGUGUGAUGCACGAUCAGGAGCAGUGUUCAGACCUCAGCAUGAAGACCAGGCAAGCAUCCGGACACAUCGCCGAAGCCCGUGUGAGCAGCAGCCAGCCUUUCUGAGAGAGGGGACAUGUGUUCUGCAUUUCGCUCCGCAGCUGGACACCGCUGAGACACCACUUGGGGAGGCGAAACGCAGGGCUGCUAGGCUACAUUACUUUCUCCCCGUUGAGGUGCCCAGCUGGUGGGAUUCUGACAAACCACUCAGGGGAGAUGAAACCCAGCCUAAGUAAGACAGGGUCCCCUGUCCAUGUUUCUCUGUGGUUCUCAAACUCCUAGGCACCCAGACACUGCUGGGAACUUUAAAAUGUUGAGACCUGGGGCUGGGGACUGGGGGGUGGGCCGAGAUGAGCCUGGGUGGGGUAAUCUGACUUAGCUCAGCGUGAGUGUCAGGAGCGCAGAGAGGCCUUCUGUAGGAAACUUAGACACGGCUCUGUAUGAUGAAGGCCUCCCCCGUGGUGAUCCUCCAUAAGAGAGACAGUCCUUGCCUGUCCAAACUGGUAAUUCACGGCACGCGACUCACUCAGGGUGAACCAGAGAUUAAAUGCCCAGGAAGGGAAGCUCACUGGCUAAACCCUUGGGGUCCAUCUAGAUAUCUCAUUAGCAUGGAGAACUCUGGGUUUCUAUGCUACAUGACCAGUUGUCAUGGUCCUCUUAGUAGGGUGUCGUAGUCACAUGCUCCAGGACAGGAAUUUGGUCAGGAGCUAGUGAGCUCUCAAUUAAGGGAGGUCGGGGUUCUGAGCUUUUGCUAUUCUACUACUUUACCAGUUCUCUCUGUGGCACAGUCCACUGCCCCACAAGGACAGGGAUUCUUCUGCAGAAAAUGAAAUCAAGGCACUGAAAAGCCAA